rnacentral:snoRNA from 1 species
AAGGUCAUACUUUUAGGGAUCAUUUCUAUAGUGUGCAUCUUGAAAACGUCAUCAAAUUCUGACGAAUCCUCAACUACGAUGAUGAGUUGUAGGGAUUCCUUCUGAGCAUGAAGCUUGGUUCGUUGUAUCUUCCGAUGUUGCGAACUAUUG